UACAGAGGGUGCAAGCGUUAUCCGGAAUCACUGGGUUUAAAGGGUGCGUAGGCGGGUAGAUAAGUCAGAGGUGAAAGGUAGUCGCUUAACGAUUAAAUUGCCUUUGAUACUGUUUAUCUUGAAUCAAGAUGAGGUUGGCGGAAUGAGACAUGUAGCGGUGAAAUGCAUAGAUAUGUCUUAGAACACCGAUUGCGAAGGCAGCUGACUGGACUUCGAUUGACGCUGAGGCACGAAAGCGUGGGGAUCAAACAGG
rnacentral:rRNA from 1 species